UACGGAGGGUGCAAGCGUUAUCCGGAUUUACUGGGCGUAAAGAGCGCGUAGGCGGCUCGUUAAGUGUGAAGUGAAAUCUCCAGGGCUCAACCCGGAAACUGCUUUACAUACUGGCGAGCUGGAGUGAUGCAGAGGUUUGUGGAAUUCCUGGUGUAACGGUGAAAUGUGUUGAUAUCAGGAGGAACACCCAUGGCGAAGGCAGCAAACUGGGCAUCAACUGACGCUGAGGCGCGAAAGCGUGGGGAGCAAACAGG
rnacentral:rRNA from 1 species